UAAAUUAAAAAAAUAUGAUUUUGAAAUUGGUGUAUCGGUUACGCAAUGACAAACUCAGGUUGGUUUUGAUAACAAUUCUCAGGUUGGUAAUGCAGUUAAUAGACAGCAGCUUCUGUUUUCACUUAUAGAGUCGGCUGCGCCGGUUAGAGACUUACCGGAUAGACCUUUUUGGAGAUAUGAUGUUGACUCAGGCAUAGGCGACGUUAGGGUCCGGCCAGGGUGGGCAAGUGCCCAGGCUGGGGCCCAAUCCAAUUUUUUUUUCAGCCCAAAUGUUUUUAAAAAAACAAAAAAUUAAAAAAAAAAAAAAGAGGAAAAGGGUUUGUAUCGUACGACUGAGAAAGGAAGAGGAAAUGGAUCUGAAAAUUUCAUGCUCUUCUUAACUCCCUCCGUCCCUCUAUUUCUCGCCAGCCGCCACCGCCCACCUCACCGUCCACCGCCCACCGCCCACCGCCCAGGCCCACCGACUCCUUCCUUCUCCUCUCCCUCUUUUGCUCCUUGCUCGCCUCCUUCCAUCGGCAGCUCGGCUCAAGAGCGGGAGAUAUUCAAGUCACUUGAUGAUAUUGAUAUUAUUCGAACAUUCACCGUAAAGAAGUCUCGGAAAGGACAUUUGCCUCGUGAUUUUAUUUAACAUCCUAUCGUAAGGCUUUAAAACUUUUCUGGCUUCGCCACUGGACUCAGGUUAUAAUUCGAAAGGAGGGUACGAGAUAUUGGCUGGCAGCGCGGACGUGGAGGAAUUGGACGACGGUAUAGAGAAAGCUUUUAGAAAUUUGUGGACUACCGAUGUGCCUUUAAAAGUUAGAGCUUUCAUAUGGAGGUGCUUUCUCGAUAGAGUUGCAACUAAAGAUCAGCUUCUUAGGCGAGGUAUUCCGUUCCCAAUUCUGAUUUUAAUUGUGUUUUUUGUCUGAAUGCUCAUGAAUCUCUUGAUCAUCUCCUCUUCUACUGUUUGUUCUCUGUUCUGGUUUGGAGAAACAUGUUCCAUUGGCUGGGGUGGACGCUGGGGUUCGAUUCUAGCGUUUGGAAAAAUUUUAUGUUAUGGGGGAAUAGUGUUAGGAGGUUCUGUAAUAGUAGAAGAAAGGAGGGGAUUAUUUGGGCGGCGGUGGUGUGAGGCAUUUGGAAGUUAAGAAAUGAAGUGAUAUUCAAGGAAGGGAUUUGUAACAUGGACGAUCUUUUGUGGAAUAUUAAGUUCACGGCAUGGAAAUGGUUGCUUACCGGUAAAAUUGCUAACUCCAAGUGUAAUUUCUACGAGUUUAGUAGAAAUCCGUUGUUUUAUUUCAAGUAGAUGUCACUUGGUUUGUAAUUUUCGUCUUUGAGCUGUUUUGCGCUUUUGUAAGCGGGUUCGAGUACCCCUAGUACUCGUUUUAGUGAAAUCCUUACUUAUAAAAAAAACAAUAACUGAUUAUCACUGUUAGUUAAUUUAUUUAUUUGAGCAGUUGUAGUUAGGGGUGUUCAAAACCAAACCGGUCCAAUUAAAAACCACAAAAUUAAAUCGAACCGAACCAAAUCGCAAAAAAGCCGCAUUUGAGUCGGAUGUGUUUGAGCCAUUUUCUAACAGAAUCGCACUGUUCGGUUCGGUUUACAGUUUGUAUUUUGCAAACCGAAUCAAACAAAACCAAACCGCAUUAUGUUACAAAAUCUUA